AUGAACGCUGGCGGCGUGUCUAAUACAUGCAAGUCGAGCGAACAGAAGAGAGUGCUUGCACUCUCUGACGUUUGCGGCGGACGGGGGAGUAAAACGUGGGUAACCUACCUAUAAGACUGGGGUAACUUCGGGGAAACCGAGCUAAUACCGGAAAAUAUUUAUCUUCGCAUGAAGCAAUAGUGAAAGACGGUUCUUCUUUCACUUAUUGAUGGACCCGCGGUGUAUUAGCUAGUUGGUGAGGUAACGGCUCACCAAGGCAACGAUACAUAGCCGACCUGAGAGGGUGAUCGGCCACACUGGGACUGAGACACGGCCCAGACUCCUACGGGAGGCAGCAGUAGGGAAUCUUCCGCAAUGGACGAAAGUCUGACGGAGCAAUGCCGCGUGAGUGAAGAAGGUUUUCGGAUCGUAAAACUCUGUUGUAAGGGAAGAACAAGUACGUUAGUAACUGAACGUACCUUGACGGUACCUUACCAGAAAGCCACGGCUAACUACGUG
rnacentral:rRNA from 1 species